rnacentral:rRNA from 1 species
GACGUAGGGCGCGAGCGUUGUCCGGAUUUAUUGGGCGUAAAGAGCUCGUAGGCGGUCUGUCGCGUCGGCUGUGAAAUCCCGAGGCUCAACCUCGGGUCUGCAGUCGAUACGGGCAAACUGGAGUGUUGCAGGGGAGACUGGAAUUCCUGGUGUAGCGGUGAAAUGCGCAGAUAUCAGGAGGAACACCGGUGGCGAAGGCGGGUCUCUGGGCAACAACUGACGCUGAGGAGCGAAAGCGUGGGGAGCGAACAGG